UACGUAGGGGGCAAGCGUUGUCCGGAUUUAUUGGGCGUAAAGAGCGUGUAGGCGGCUUGGUAGGUCCGCUGUGAAAACUCGAGGCUCAACCUCGAGAUGUCGGCGGAAACCACUUGGCUAGAGUCCGGAAGAGGAGAGUGGAAUUCCUGGUGUAGCGGUGAAAUGCGCAGAUAUCAGGAAGAACACCUAUGGCGAAGGCAGCUCUCUGGGACGGUACUGACGCUGAGAUGCGAAAGCGUGGGGAGCGAACAGG
rnacentral:rRNA from 1 species